rnacentral:tRNA from 10 species
GGGCCGUUAGCUCAGUUGGUAGAGCAGCUGACUCUUAAUCAGCGGGUCGCAGGUUCGAUCCCUGCACGGCCCACCA